GGUUGAACUGGAGACGUGCCACGAUAGUUUUAUAUUAUCGCAAAAUUCUCAAUAAGUUGAAAAAAAACUUCAACCUCAAUUCCAAUUCAUCUUCUCGUCUCCUCCGCCUCUAUCAAACGCCUCCGUUCCACUUUCUGAAACAAGAACUUUGAAAUUUCUUUCUUUUUUUUCCCCUUCCUUUUUCGGAGCCAUUAUCAUCAUGAGCUUUCAAGAUCUUGAGGCUGGAAGGCCUUUCCUGCAAAAGAAGCCAAAAGAAAAAGACCCUUCUCAAGCUGUGGCCGCCGGGAUUUUCCAAAUCAACACUGCCGUCUACUCCUUCAACCGCCUCGUCAAUUCCCUCGGAACUCCCAAGGAUACCAUCGAAUUGCGAGAGAAACUGUUAAGUAUUCUGAUUCUUUGCUUCCGUUUACGCUGUUUUGAAUUGUUCCAAAUUUAACGCUCAGAGAGGUAGAAUUUGUUGUUUUAUUGUACUGGGUUCUUGGUUUUGAGGUUUUCCUGCCUCUCUUGUGGUGGAUUUUGAUAAUAACGUUGUUGAACUGGUUUGUGUAUCUUGUUCUGCAAUUGCUUGUACCUUUGAUUUUCCCAGUUUUAGCAUCGCUAUUAGAACUGCUUGUUAUGUUUAGAAAUGGCUGUUGGAUGCCUCUGCUUGGUUCUUACGCUGGAUUCACCUUAUUGGCAGGCAUAAGACAAGACAACGUAUUGGAGAACUGGUGAAAGAAACUUCUGUUAAACUUAAGGAAGCCAGUGAAACCGAUCAUUAUGAAGAAGUUAGUCCUGCCAAAAAGAUUAGUGAUGCUAAGCUUGCAAAAGAGUUUAGGAAUGCUCUUAACGAAUUUCAGAAGUCCCAAAGGCUUGCUGCUGAGAGGGAAACUAUGUAUGCUCCUUUCGUUCCCAAAGUUCUUCCAUCAAGCUACAAUGCCCAUGAGCCUGAUCAAAGUUCGUCAAGGAGUCCCGAGCAGCAAUCUCUUCUUUUAGAAUCUAGAAGACAGGAGAUUGUAUUGUUGGACAAUGAGAUAGCAUUUAAUGAAGCUAUUAUUGAAGAACGAGAGCAGGGGAUUAAAGAAAUUCAGCAACAGAUUAGUGAAGUAAGUGAGAUAUUCAAAGAUCUAGCUGUCUUGGUACAUGAGCAAGGAGUUAUGAUUGAUGAUAUUGGUUCUAACAUUGAGAGCUCUCAUGCUGCAACUGCACAAGCUACUUCACAACUUGCAAAAGCUUCCAAGAUCCAAAGAUCUAAUUCUUCUUUGGUAAAGUUUGAUUCGUGCAAAAUUUCUUCUUUUCUGGUUUGAUUUGGUUAGGUUUUUCUAUAUUAACUGAAUUUAUGCUGUAUUUAUAUAUGCUGAUACUCAUGCAUUAAGUUUUGCUUUUUAGGGGCUUGACUGUAAGUUGUAGAACUUAGAAGGUACUUCUUAGGUGAAUUAUAAUUAAACUUUAGAGAGAAUUGAUCUGCCAAUUGUUGCAGUUGGCAUUUGUUAUUUUGCUCAAAUGCUGAAUGCAAUUUAUGGAAUUCUAAUAGAAUGCCUAGAGAAUUUGGUUUUGGUUUAUAAAUAGUGCAUUUAUUUUUUUUAUUGUGUUUAGCAUUUCUCUACGUGGAUGUCAUGUGAUUGAGAUUCUGUUUGGUGUCUAAUCUAUAUCAACCUUCUAGGCGCUUCAAACUGAUGACCCGGUGCAUGUUUAUAUCUCAUACUUGUACUUAAAAUUCAAUUGAAUGAGGCCGCAAAUGUUAGAUGGUCAAGUUCUGAAUUCUCUCAUCUGAUGUCAAUUUAACUAGAUGAGUGGUUCAAACUUGGCUUGCUUUUGGUUUCACAGUACUCUGCGAGCAUUGUGCUAAUCAGUGUUAAUUUUUGUCACUAUCCUUCAUUCUCCCUCCUGCCUGUGUAAUUCUUCAUUCUUCUGUGUUAAGAAUUUAAGAAUUAGAAGAAGAAAAAGGAAAGGAAGGGAAGGAAAGGAACAUAGAGGCUGCAUCUUUAUUAUUAUUACUUCUAUAAAAUAGAAGAGUACAUAUUUAAAUACAGAUAUCUUUUAAUUACUCUGCUUAGUUAGGAAUAUGAAUCCUACACAAAAUGGGGAAUUAAAUGCUAUACUAAAUAGGAAUAUAUAAAAUCCAUAUUGACUUUCCAUAACACAACUCAUUACCAGUCCAUCCUCUUGUAAAGUUAUUAGUUUUUGCUAGUUGACAUUUUCUUGGACAUUGAAUGGGACCAUUCACUACUUAUUUCAGAGUUUAAAACUAUAUUUUACGUGGAUAGCAGUUGGAGGGUUGCGAGGAUACAAGAAAGUACCAUUUGACUGCAAGAUUUGUUGUAGGAUAAAAAAUAUAAUGAGUUGAGACAUUUGAGGAAGAAAUCUAUUAAAAUCCACUUUGAAAAUGUUUUUUCGCUAAUUGCUAUGGCCAUUUUUGUUUUGUAUUGUGUUGCAGAAUUAAGCUACUAGAUGGUAUUAGGCUUCAAUUUCACUUAAAAAAAUGGACUUGGGUCUUGUCGGUCCAUCAAAUUGAUUUUUCUUUGACUAAAGAGUUGACAGAUGGCAUCAAAGAUUAGAAAAGUAGCUAGAAAAGUAUUUAGAGAGUCUGGAGGACAUGGACCAUCCUCAAAAG
rnacentral:misc_RNA from 1 species